CUACUUCUUGCUUCAACAGUGUUUGGACAGAACAG
rfam:Myotis lucifugus cont2.26061, whole genome shotgun sequence.